rnacentral:tRNA from 1 species
CAGGGAGACAACAAAAUGUUUAAUAUUAUUAUUUUGUCACCUUAGGUCGAUCGGUAUCUCACGUUCUUAAUUUAUUAAGAAUUUCAUUUCCUGAGUUUUUCUAGGUCACACCCAUUAUUUUUCCUGGGCCAUUAGCUCAGGUGGUUAGAGCGCACCCCUGAUAAGGGUGAGGUCCCUGGUUCAAGUCCAGGAUGGCCCAUAUCUCUAUGUUGGGGGUAUAGCUCAGUUGGUAGAGCGCCUGCUUUGCAAGCAGGAUGUCAGCGGUUCGAGUCCGCUUACCUCCACUGAUUACCACCUCUUCCAUAUCUAUAAGAAAGGAAUUUUUUUGGGUUUUGAUCAAAUUCUGAACGAAUCUAGCUUCCUAAUGAAAUCAUUAAGAUGCUGGACUCAUUGAAUUAAUUUCAUUGUUUUCAGAGAACCUUGACAACUGCAUAGAUUAUUUUUAAAGACAAUUAGCAUCUUUAGUGAUGCAGAUUUAUUAUUUGUGCGAACGCACUAAUAACAAUUCUAUUAAGCUGAUGCUUCAAUUUUGAAGUUAUU